AUUGAACGCUGGCGGCAUGCCUUACACAUGCAAGUCGAACGGCAGCACGGGUGCUUGCACCUGGUGGCGAGUGGCGAACGGGUGAGUAAUACAUCGGAACAUGUCCUGUAGUGGGGGAUAGCCCGGCGAAAGCCGGAUUAAUACCGCAUACGAUCUACGGAUGAAAGCGGGGGACCUUCGGGCCUCGCGCUAUAGGGUUGGCCGAUAGCUGAUUAGCUAGUUGGUGGGGUAAAGGCCUACCAAGGCGACGAUCAGUAGCUGGUCUGAGAGGACGACCAGCCACACGGGGACUGAGACACGGCCCAGACUCCUACGGGAGGCAGCAGUGGGGAAUUUGGGACAAUGGGCGAAAGCCUGAUCCAGCAAUGCCGCGUGUGUGAAGAAGGCCUUCGGGUUGUAAAGCACUUUUGUCCGGAAAGAAAUCCUUGGCUCUAAUACAGUCGGGGGAUGACGGUACCGGAAGAAUAAGCACCGGCUAACUACGUG
rnacentral:rRNA from 1 species